rnacentral:rRNA from 1 species
UACAGAGGGUGCGAGCGUUGUUCGGAAUUAUUGGGCGUAAAGGGCGCGUAGGCGGUGCCACAAGUCACUUGUGAAAUCUCCGGGCUUAACUCGGAGCCUGCAGGCGAAACUGUGGUGCUGGAGUGUGGGAGAGGUGCGUGGAAUUCCCGGUGGUAGCGGUGAAAUGACGUAGAUAUCGGAAAGGAACACCAGUGGCGAAAGCGGCUUCCCUGG